GUGCUCAUUUUGUUAUUUGGA
rnacentral:siRNA from 1 species